rnacentral:lncRNA from 1 species
AGAAAAGUAUUUCGGUGUCGAGGUCCGAUCUAACACGAACAAUAGAAAUUAAUAUUACAAUUUACUGUUAUUAUUAAGUCGGCGCCAUGUUAAUGGGUAGUACCGAGUGCUAUUAAUUAAUUGAAUUAUCGCGUUAGUUUUCGUAGAUUAGUAAAGAAAACUUAACCGAUAUGGUGUUGUGCAAUCAUCAAUGUGAAUUUGAAGAGUGAUUGGGGCGAAAAUUGUACUUAGGAUUAGGAUUACGAAAAGUGCUUUUUGGUCUUCCUUCCCUGAGCAGUAACAGAUACCUUCUGCAAUGCCUGUGCUGGCAGAGAAGAGAUGGUAGGACUGGUAAAGGACUGCGUUUGCUAUCACAACGUAAUGCUUCUUCGUCUUCCUUCUAUGAGCAGUGAUAGAGAUCAUCUGCAAUGCCCGUGCUGGUAGAGAAGAAAUGAUGGGACUGGUAAAGGAUUACGAUUGCCAUCACAACGUAAUGCUUUUCUGCCUUCCUUCCCUGAGCAGUGAUAUAUAUGGACCUUCUGCAGUGUCCGUGCUGGUAGAGAAGAGAUGAUGGGACUGGUAAAGGACUGCGAUUGCUAUCACAAGCUUUUUCGUCUUCCUUGUAUGAGCAGUGAUGGAGACACCUUUUGCAAUGCCUGUGCUGGUAGAGAGGAGAUAAUGGGACUGGUAAAGGAUUGCGAUUGCCAUUACAACGUUAUGGUGAGUUUUUUCAAAUAU